UUACCAGAGAUGGUUGGUGCUCGAAAGAGAGCCGUAACACAGGUGCUGCAUGGCUGUCGUCAGCUCGUGUCGUGAGAUGUUGGGUUAAGUCCCGCAACGAGCGCAACCCUUGUCAUUAGUUGCUACGAAAGGGCACUCUAAUGAGACUGCCGGUGACAAACCGGAGGAAGGUGGGGAUGACGUCAAGUCCUCAUGGCCCUUAUAGGUGGGGCUACACACGUCAUACAAUGGCUGGUACAAAGGGUUGCCAACCCGCGAGGGGGAGCCAAUCCCAUAAAGCCAGUCGUAGUCCGGAUCGCAGUCUGCAACUCGACUGCGUGAAGUCGGAAUCGCUAGUAAUCGUGGAUCAGCAUGUCACGGUGAAUACGUUCCCGGGUCUU
rnacentral:rRNA from 1 species